CAUAUCAAUAAGCGGAGGAAAAGAAACUAACAAGGAUUCCCCUAGUAACUGCGAGUGAAGCGGGAAGAGCUCAAAUUUAAAAUCUGGUAGUCUUUGGCUGCCCGAGUUGUAAUCUAGAGAAGCGUUAUCCGCGCUGGACCGUGUACAAGUCUCCUGGAAUGGAGCGUCAUAGAGGGUGAGAAUCCCGUCUUUGACACGGACUACCAGGGCUUUGUGAUACGCUCUCGAAGAGUCGAGUUGUUUGGGAAUGCAGCUCUAAAUGGGUGGUAAAUUCCAUCUAAAGCUAAAUAUUGGCGAGAGACCGAUAGCGAACAAGUACCGUGAGGGAAAGAUGAAAAGAACUUUGGAAAGAGAGUUAAACAGUACGUGAAAUUGUUGAAAGGGAAACGCUUGAAGUCAGUCACGUUGGCUAGGAAUCAGCCUUGCUUUUGCUUGGUGUAUUUCCUGGUUUUAACGGGUCAGCAUCAAUUUCGACCGAUGGAAAAAGGUCRGGGGAAUGUGGCAUCUUAGGAUGUGUUAUAGCCCYUGGUCGUAUACAUCGGUUGGGAUUGAGGAACUCAGCACGCCGCAAGGUCGGGUUAUCUAACCACGUUCGUGCUUAGGAUGCUGGCAUAAUGGCUUUAAUCGACCCGUCUUGAAACACGGACCAAGGAGUCUAACAUGCCUGCGAGUGUUUGGGUGGAAAACCCGAGCGCGUAAUGAAAGUGAAAGUUGAGAUCCCUGUCGUGGGGAGCAUCGACGCCCGGACCAGACCUUCUGUGACGGAUCCGCGGUAGAGCAUGUAUGUUGGGACCCGAAAGAUGGUGAACUAUGCCUGAAUAGGGUGAAGCCAGAGGAAACUCUGGUGGAGGCUCGUAGCGAUUCUGACGUGCAAAUCGAUCGUCAAAUUUGGGUAUAGGGGCGAAAGAC
rnacentral:rRNA from 1 species